ensembl:lncRNA
CGGCAUUUGCGGCGCAGCGAUGCGGGGGAGACAACAACGAGACCUUAGGACAGUCUCGCUGCUCUCCCCGCGGUUUGGCCGGGGGCGUUGCUCAGGUAUCCCCAACUCGCAGCGGUUUCCCUGCGGAAUAGGCAGGCAAGCUCUCCAAAUACCUCCUGGCGCCAGAAGAAAGUUCUCAUGUAAUAGAUACCCGGCGGUGUGAGAACACGGAUUCUGCUCACUUUGUCAAUCAGCCGCGGGUGGGGAGAGCCGGGGAGGGGGAGAUGAGAUUUCUUUUAAUUAACGAAGAGAAAGACGGAGUUUUCCCUAAUUCUAUUAUUAGUAGUAUAAUUUUUAAUGAUGCCCGGAGUUGUGCCGUUGGCCUGAAAGGACGGGAAUUAACGGGGCAGCUGAAAGCGCGGUUUAUUUCUCCUCUCGGAGCAAAUUAGCUGCAAUAACAAGCAAACAUCAGCAAGAGGAAGCGCUCUGUUACUCUCCUCCUUGUGUUUCACCCUGAGAGGGAAGCCCACCAGAGCCAGACGGAAGAGAUGGGGAGAGAUAACGGCACUGCAGCCUCUCCUUCUGCUGUGGGGCGCUCCAACACGAUCCCUCACUUCGGCCGGGCGGAGGAGGAGGGGGUGGGGGCGGCUCCCCCGGGACCCGCCGGGGGGGUCACUGCUCGCUCUCGUUGGGGCACACGGCCGCUGGGACGGUGGUGAAGACAGCACGAAGUGACAGCUCGGAGCUGCUGGACGGAAAGGAAAGUCAUGGAAUCGUAGAAUCGUUUGAGUUGGGAUGGACUAUUAAAGGUCUCCUGGUCCGAUUCUCCUGCAAUGAGCAUCCGCCCAGGCUUUCAAUCGAUAACGUUGCAAGCGACCUCUUCUCCCACUAUUGGGUUAAUACCGGAUCUGAAACGUAUAAAUAAUAGACGAGACGGUGACUUUUCUGAUGUAAUAUACACAGUUCUUCCAGCACAUGAUCUUGACAUGCAUAGAUACGUCUGCAUUUAAAAAGGAAGAACUUAAACGCUUAGUAGAUUUCUUUGGCUCAGCAGUUGGAAAACAAAAUGCAUCUGGAUUUAUCUGGAAUCUGCUAAAGAAAACUGCUAUUCCAUUGAUUCUGAGGUUCUUGACGAGUUGCUACAAAAGGAAACUAUACACAUCAGCAGCAACUUUUUUUUUUUCUUUUUACAAUUGUUACUUAAAAUUUAGCACAGCUGUUAACCUAAUGAUGCCAAAUUGGUGGCAUACCUUGUAUAUCAAACAUACACAUCUUAAAAGAAAAACGCCAACCAUUCUGCGCAAGGUCAUCUGCUAGCACGGAAAGUCAGAUAUCCAUCAAUUUUAGCUGAGCUGACACAUCAGUGCAAGGUGAAAAGCUGAUUCCUGAUGUCUAGGUCUUUUCCCGAGGACUCCAAUUUUAAAUAGGAAACAUUCCUGCCAAAAUAAGUAGUGUUACAUUUGGUCUAAAUCUGGGGAAAAAAGAGUGCUUGACUAAGGAUCUAUUGAUGCAACUGAAGUAAUGGAUUCUACAGUCCCUCUGAGACUGAAACAACCACAGUCCUCUCUCAGGGAUGUUUUUCAAAGUGAAAACUGGCUUUAUGCUCGUAUAUAUUUAAGUAUUUACAAGUUUGCUCACAGAUAUACUGAAGGUAACUUGGAUGGUUUUCGAUAUAGAAAGCAAUCUGUAUUAAACAACACACCUUUGGAAGCAAGCACAAACAGAUAUGUCCUACUGGUUAAUAAGCUUCUCAUACUUAAUUUUAUCAUUCUUUCAUUGGGGAAUAUAAGACAAAGUUUACUUCAGGAAGCACCAAGGGCCUUACCAAAAGUAAUGUUAAGAUGAAAUUGGAUUUCCAGGAUAGCUGAUAAAUCAUUCCUUCACAUUCUAAUUACUGUAUUCCUACUGUCCUACCAUUGACCAUUUCUGAGAAAGGAUAUUCAGGAGCCACUAUAAUGGCUUUCUGGCCUUCUUAUCCAUUGUUGGGUGCACUUGCAGUAGGAUAUUCCACAGCACGCUGUGAGAAUUAAUUAUGGAUUUCUUCACCUUAAUUUCUUUAAAAAGUUUGAGUGCAAUCAGUUGUUCCAAUCUAAUUGCUCAUAUUUGGUAGUUACAAAAAAGCAUGUUUACAGUUGAUUUGCCUCGACUACUGUUGCUUUUUAGUAUUACUUGCAAUUCUCUUCUUACCUCUUUUCCAG